rnacentral:tRNA from 1 species
GGAGGGGUACCCGAAGUGGCCUAUCGGGAGUUGAGUCUCUCAGCUGGGGUAACGCCCACGCAGGUUCGAAUCCUGCCCCCUCCGC